rnacentral:lncRNA from 1 species
GAGAUAUUCCCGGUAUUCCCGGGAUCCCCGGGAUAUUCCCGGUAUCCCCGUUAUUCCCGGGAUAUUCCCGGUAUCCCCGGGAUAUUCCCGGUAUCCCCGUUAUUCCCGGGAUAUUCCCGGUAUCCCCGUUAUUCCCGGGAUAUUCCCGGUAUCCCCGGGAUAUUCCCGGUAUCCCCGUUAUCACCGAGAUAUUCCCGGUAUUCCCGUUAUCCCCGGGAUAUUCCCGUUAUUCCCGGGAUAUUCCCGGUAUCCCCGUUAUCCCUGGGAUAUUCCCGUUAUCCCCGUUAUCCCCGGGAUAUUCCCGGUAUCCCCGUUAUCCCCGGGAUAUUCCCGGUAUCCCCGUUAUUCCCGGGAUCCCCCUCUCCCGGUGCAGAUGUUCCCGGUUCGGGUCCCGGCAGCCGCAGCGGGAGCCGCGAGCGGGGCGGGGAUGGCGGCACCGGGGACACCCCCACGGAACCGGCCCGGAGACGGCACGACCCCGGCAGGGAAAUCCCGGCCUGGAUCUCACGGGGAAUGCGGGCUGCAGGGAAAUCCCGGCCUGGAUCUCACGGGGAAUGCGGGCUGCNNNNNNNNNNNNNNNNNNNNGAGCGGGGCGGGGAUGGCGGCACCGGGGACACCCCCACGGAACCGGCCCGGAGACGGCACGACCCCGGCAGGGAAAUCCCGGCCUGGAUCUCACGGGGAAUGCGGGCUGCAGGGAAAUCCCGGCCUGGAUCUCACGGGGAAUGCGGGCUGCAGGGAAAUCCCGGCCUGGAUCUCACGGGGAAUGCGGGCUGCAGGGAAAUCCCGGCCUGGAUCCGGGGGGCUCCAGG